AUAAAAGCUGAGAUGAGGAAAAGUAGGUAUUGCCUUACUUUUACAGAGAAUCGGGAUAAGGUGAGAGCCCGAAAAAGGCGGUUAUAUCGAAGUUCUCCUCGGAGCUGCAGGCUGAACGUGUUCGCAUGCGGAUACCAGUAGGCUGUGCCGGUAACUUCCGCCGUUAAAGGUAAGAGGGCAUGUCAGUGCCUGCGAUAAAGAGGGAUUUAUAUAUUCAUAUAUGAAUCCAAGAUGGGUGGUACCGCGGAAAGUAAAACGCUCUUCGUCCCUAUA
rnacentral:ncRNA from 1 species